AAUUAUUACUUUGGCAGAUUAGUGUGAUAAAUUUAGAAUUUAUAAAUGUAAUUAUUUUACAAGUAAUA
rnacentral:tRNA from 1 species